rnacentral:rRNA from 1 species
GUGGGGAAUCUUAGACAAUGGGCGCAAGCCUGAUCUAGCCAUGCCGCGUGAGCGAUGAAGGCCUUAGGGUUGUAAAGCUCUUUCGCUGGGGAAGAUAAUGACUGUACCCAGUAAAGAAGCCCCGGCUAACUCCGUGCCAGCAGCCGCGGUAAUACGGAGGGGGCUAGCGUUGUUCGGAAUUACUGGGCGUAAAGCGCGCGUAGGCGGACCAGAAAGUUGGAGGUGAAAUCCCAGGGCUCAACCUUGGAACUGCCUUCAAAACUCCUGGUCUGGAGUUCGAGAGAGGUGAGUGGAAUUCCGAGUGUAGAGGUGAAAUUCGUAGAUAUUCGGAGGAACACCAGUGGCGAAGGCGGCUCACUGGCUCGAUACUGACGCUGAGGUGCGAAAGCGUGGGGAGCAAACAGGAUUAGAUACCCUAGUAGUCC